rnacentral:rRNA from 1 species
CGUGACCAACCUCGCCCCAUGCUCCAGAAUAGCUCUUGGAAACGGGUGGUAAUGCUGGAUGCUCCAACUUGACGCAUGUCUUGUUGGGAAAGUGUUUAGUGGCNAUGGGAUGGGGUCGCGUCCUAUCAGCUUGUAGGCGGGGUAAUGGCCCACCUAGGCUUCGACGGGUAGCCGGCCUGAGAGGGCGGACGGCCACAUUGGGGACUGAGAUACGGCCCAGACUCCUACGGGAGGCAGCAGCA